rnacentral:rRNA from 1 species
GAUGAACGCUGGCGGCGUGCCUAAUACAUGCAAGUCGAGCGAACGGACGAGAAGCUUGCUUCUCUGAUGUUAGCGGCGGACGGGCGAGUAACACGUGGAUAACCUACCUAUAAGACUGGGAUAACUUCGGAAAACCGGAGCUAAUACCGGAUGAUAUUGUGAACCGAAUGGUUCAAAAGUGAAAGACGGGCUUGCUGUCACUGAUAGAUGGAUCCGCGCUGGAUUAGCUAGUUGGUAAGGUAACGGCUUACCAAGGCAACGAUGCAUAGCCGACCUGAGAGGGUGAUCAGCCACACUGGAACUGAGACACGGUCCAGACCCCUACGGGAGGCAGCAGUAGGGAAUCUUCCUCAAUGGGCGAAAGCCUGACGGAGCAACGCCGCGUGAGUGAUGAAGGUCUUCGGAUCGUAAAACGCUGUUAGUAGGGAAGAACAUAUGUGUAAGUAACUGUGCAGAUCUUGACGGUACCUAAUGAGAAAGCCACGGCUAACUACGUG